rnacentral:rRNA from 1 species
UACGGGGGAGCAAGCGUUGUUCGGAUUUACUGGGCGUAAAGGGCGCGUAGGCGGUCAGCACAAGUCAGUUGUGAAAUCUCCGGGCUUAACUCGGAAAGGUCAACUGAUACUGUGCGACUAGAGUGCGGAAGGGGCAACUGGAAUUCUCGGUGUAGCGGUGAAAUGCGUAGAUAUCUGGAGGAACACCGGUGGCGAAGGCGGCAUCCUGGACCAAUUCUGACACUGAGGAGCGAAAGCCAGGGAGCAACGGG